GACGUAGGAUGCGAGCGUUGUCCGGAUUUAUUGGGCGUAAAGAGUUCGUAGGUGGUUCAUUAAGUCUGGUGUUAAAGACCGGGGCUCAACCUCGGGAUCGCACUGGAUACUGGUGGACUGGAGUGCAGUAGAGACAAGCGGAAUUCCCAGUGUAGCGGUGAAAUGCGUAGAUAUCUGGAGGAACACCGGUGGCGAAGGCGGCAUCCUGGACCGGCAUUGACGCUGAGGCGCGAAAGCCAGGGGAGCAAACGGG
rnacentral:rRNA from 1 species